rnacentral:rRNA from 1 species
AGUGAACGCUGGCGGUAGGCCUAACACAUGCAAGUCGAACGGCAGCACAGUAAGAGCUUGCUCUUACGGGUGGCGAGUGGCGGACGGGUGAGGAAUACAUCGGAAUCUACUUUUUCGUGGGGGAUAACGUAGGGAAACUUACGCUAAUACCGCAUACGACCUACGGGUGAAAGCAGGAGAUAUUCGGAGCUUGGGCGAUAGAAUGAGCCGAUGUCGGAUUAGCUAGUUGGCUGGGUAAAGGCCCACCAAGGCGACGAUCCGUAGCUGGUCUGAGAGGAUGAUCAGCCACACUGGAACUGAGACACGGUCCAGACUCCUACGGGAGGCAGCAGUGGGGAAUAUUGCACAAUGGGCGCAAGCCUGACGCAGCAACGCCGCGUGGGUGAAGAAGGCCUUCGGGUCGUAAAGCCCUUUUAUUGGGGAAGAACAGAUGUAGGUUUAUCCGUCGAUGUCCUGACGGUACCUAAAGAAUAAGCACCGGCUAACUUCGUG